UUCAAUGAUGUAACCAUCAUGAUUUUUUGCGAAAAUCGUGACAAAAUUGAUGUCUCUUUUUCUGAUGCCAGUCGAUUGGCAGGACCCUCCCGAUAACGAAUAGACAUGUCACGCCCAGAUCGGCCGCUGUUUAGCCGAGAUAUAGAGUACAGCGAAAACCAGUAUUUAAAAGAUAUGCAAAUCCAAAUCUUCGCUUAGCUAUAUCUCUGACAAAUAAGGCCAGAUCGGUGAAGGACCAGCUGAGGAAGGACAUGUAAAGCCUUGCUUUGCUGGCUGGCUCUUGAUGACGCGGUGGUAUUCGAACGCCACAGCCGAAGACCCUGGGAUCCAGUUUUCUGUGUUCGAUGUGCGACAUGCUCGCUGUAUGAGCUGGCACAUCUAUGCACUGUAUGCAGGUCGCCCCCUCCCGCGUACACCGUCAUGCCCACCAUCGCUCAUCAGGGGCUUCUCCCUUCUGGUCUUCCGGUUCAUAUGAGCGAGGGUGCGCUCGAUGACGGCAGUCCACUCCAGGUGCCUGACCGGGUGACAUCGCGAGCUCCCCACCGGCUCCAGCGCACGGGGCCACGAUGCCCUCGGGACAUGAUUCAUGUCGCACGAGGCUGUGGGCCUUGGCCUGGGUAGAAUAAAUGCAGAAUCGUAUCCUGGCAGUACAGAAGCGCACACCUUGCAAGAUCCGAGCCGAAAGGCCAUCGUCAUCCUUCCACCUGGCCAUCGACCACAAGGACUUUGACUAUGACAACCAAGGGAGAGGCUACGCGGGCUACUAGACUGUAGAUAGAUAUCGUUGUUCUUAGGUUUAAGGAUAUACCCGUCCAUUUAUUUAAAUAGUAGAUACAAAUGUUUAAACUUAUUUAUUUAUUUAUACUAAGCUAAGUUUUGAUGAAUAAAACUUUUGAAAAAUUA